AUUUAUGUGGCUCUGCAUGUAAACUUUGAGCAUAUUACUGCAGUAGUUGUUGCAGUGCUUUCAGGCACUACUUAGUAAUUCUGGAUGCCACAGCGUUGUGCUUAUAAACAUGGCCUUGUUUUGGGGGGUAAUUUAAAUAUGUAUGCUUAGUGCUGUCUUGUCAAUGCAUCCUCUGUUUCUGGUUGGAUGGCACACUCUCCUGGUGUUGUAAUGCUGCCUUAAAGUGAGAGGAUAGAUACUGCUAGCAUCAAAGAUCAAAUAGAUACCUGUAUGUGGGGAUAAAGAAAGAAGGGCACUGCUGUUCUAGCAUUGAAAAUUAACCAGGGAGAUUAGCUUUCUAUUCCUUCAGCUGGACAUUGCAGAAACAACCGGUAGAGUGAUUAAUGUUUGGGAAUGAUGAAUGUAUGCUGUAAUGGCAGAGGGGCCUUCAAAAAUGUGUUGCUUGCCUUGUAGUAUGUUCUUCAAGGUAAAUGGAUGAAGAAACCAUUACGUGGUAAUCUAAAGUAUUUCCUUGUACUUCCUCAUCUUCAGGAGGCACGUGGCUGUACUUGCGAGCCUGGUGGUGUUCUAGCAGUGGCAGGAAGCACGAGCCUUUCUAUUUGUACAUAAAUUCCUCAGCAGCCUUUGAAUUGCCUCUGCUCAUGGGACACUUUGGAUGAUGUGUGAAUUGUUAACUAUAUCAAUGAUUGUAUGUCUGAUUCAUGAUGAAUAGCAUGCAGGUACAGAUCUAUGAGUAUGUGGAAUCUGAGCAAGUAUUCAAAUGUAAUAAAUACUUCCUAAAAUACUGCUGCAUUUUCAAGAUUAUCUUGAAGCAAAUUCUGGCAAUUAAGACUUUUUUUUUUUUUUUUUUUUGUCACAGGGUUCCUAAAUCACUCAAAAUCCUAGGAACUGCUUUCAGAAGUCAAACUGAGCCAGUGAGUGGAGCAUCAAAAGCAGUAAAAAAACACAAUCUCACUCUUUCUUCUACACGCUGCACUUAAUUCUAAACAAUGUAGCCUCGUGUUAAUUUUCCAAACAUUAACUUAAUAUAUUUUCCAGUAAAACAUAGUAUAUGUUGUAGAUAAAAUGUAUUUGAUUUAGCAUAGUAAAAACUGAGUAAUGCCAUCAUUUGCACAGUUCUAAUGUGAAUAUUGGUAUUUGUGCCUAGUAAUGCAUUGUAUUUCAUAUUAAAUAUGCAGAAUAUUUCCUGUAUGACUUUAUCUGUACAACACAAUGUAUGAUCAGUUUUAGAUCAUGUAGGUUCAAGGUUUGCACAAUUGAACAUGGUGCCAUGUUCUACAUCUGUCUGUCUAUAGCUAGUAAUAUGUAUGUUUGUAUGGGUUGUUGUGUGCUUUUUGUUUCUUGCAAUAAAAAAUGUUUGGAGUGUA